rnacentral:rRNA from 1 species
AACGAACGCUGGCGGCAUGCCUAACACAUGCAAGUCGAACGGGACCUUCGGGUCUAGUGGCGCACGGGUGCGUAACGCGUGGGAACCUGCACUUAGGUUCGGAAUAACUCCCCGAAAGGGAUGCUAAUACCGGAUAAUGUCUUCGGACCAAAGAUUUAUCGCCUUUGGGUGGGCCCGCGUUGGAUUAGCUAGUUGGUAGGGUAAAAGCCUACCAAGGCGACGAUCCAUAGCUGGUCUGAGAGGAUGAUCAGCCACACUGGGACUGAGACACGGCCCAGACUCCUACGGGAGGCAGCAGUGGGGAAUAUUGGACAAUGGGCGAAGGCCUGAUCCAGCAAUGCCGCGUGAGUGAUGAAGGCCUUAGGGUUGUAAAGCUCUUUUACCCGGGAUGAGAAUGACAGUACCGGGAGAAUAAGCUCCGGCUAACUCCGUG